GGCCGCCUGGCGUAAUGGCAACGCAUCUGACUAUGAAUCAGGAGAUUGCAGGUCCAACCCCUGUGGUGGUCA
rnacentral:tRNA from 1 species